GACGAACGCUGGCGGCGUGCUUAACACAUGCAAGUCGAACGGAAAGGCCCUGCUUUUGUGGGGUGCUCGAGUGGCGAACGGGUGAGUAACACGUGAGUAACCUGCCCUUGACUUUGGGAUAACUUCAGGAAACUGGGGCUAAUACCGGAUAGGAGCUCCUGCUGCAUGGUGGGGGUUGGAAAGUUUCGGCGGUUGGGGAUGGACUCGCGGCUUAUCAGCUUGUUGGUGGGGUAGUGGCUUACCAAGGCUUUGACGGGUAGCCGGCCUGAGAGGGUGACCGGCCAAAUGGGGACGGAGAUACGGCCCAGACUCCUACGGGAGGCAGCAGUGGGGAAUAUUGCAAAAUGGGCGGAAGCCUGAUGCAGAAACGCCGCGUGCGGGAUGACGGCCUUCGGGUUGUAAACCGCUUUCGCCUGUGACGAAGCGUGAGUGACGGUAAUGGGUAAAGAAGCACCGGCUAACUACGU
rnacentral:rRNA from 1 species